AGCUGACGAGUCCCAGAUGGGACGAAACGCGCGUCCU
rnacentral:hammerhead_ribozyme from 1 species